UCGAGAAUUUUUCGCAAUGGGGGCAACCCUGACGGAGCGACGCCGCGUGGAGGAUGAAGGUCUUCGGAUUGUAAACUCCUGUCAUUGGUGAACAAGAUGUUCCGAUUAACUGUCGGGGCAUUUGCUAGUAGCCGAAGAGGAAGGGACGGCUAACUCUGUGCCAGCAGCCGCGGUAAUACAGAGGUCCCGAGCGUUGUUCGGAUUCAUUGGGCGUAAAGGGUGCGUAGGCGGUCUUCUAAGUUUGAUGUGAAAUCCCGGGGCUCAACCCUGGAAUGGCAUUGAAUACUGGAGGACUAGAGUACUGGAGAGGAAACUGGAAUUUACGGUGUAGCAGUGAAAUGCGUAGAGAUCGUAAGGAAGACCAGUGGCGAAGGCGAGUUUCUGGACAGUUACUGACGCUGAGGCACGAAGGCCAGGGGAGCAAACGGGAUUAGAUACCCCCGUAGUCC
rnacentral:rRNA from 1 species